rnacentral:lncRNA from 1 species
AUGUUGGGGUUGUUUUUCUCAUUUUCUCUUAGUUGGAUAGUAAUGAUUCCAGUUCUAGCAGCAGUCUUUCACUUGCUAAGGUUAGGCGGAGCAGUGAUCUCAACAAUCACACUGGCCAGUCUCCUCCACACAAAGUGCGGAGAAGUGUUUCUUCAAGCCAGAAGCAGAGAUAUUGCAGUGCCCAUGUUCACAGAGAAGAGAAGGACCUCCGUCUCUGUCUUCAGGACUUUCCAUUCCUGCCGCUUUUAUCCGCACGCUGCCCUUCCAAAACACUAUUCCACUCUAGUUACUUCAACAUACAGUAUUAGCCAUGCAACCACCCCAGAUCGAAUCUGCUUCCCAAGAAGCACUGCCUGCGGCAGCACUUUCCAGGAUCAGCCAGGGGAGUGGCGAAGGGCAACUGAUAAUGGCCUCCCCGCCUCUCCCAGCCUGUCCCAUGAAGCCACACUAUUGCUCCAGACUCGAAGCUGAAGUUCCACUAUCGUUUUAGUAAAUUAACUUCAAAACUCAGAAAAGAGGAGGUCUAAGACUCUCCAGAGUGUCCAUGGCAACCGGCAUCACUCAAGACUAUGGCUGCCCUGUCAGCAUGGGGCCCAGAGUGAGCGGAGCAAAGCCCCUGGUAGACCCUUAAUGGCCCUGGAAUGUAAAUGAGAAAUAAACUUGGUUGUCACAAGCCACUGAGAUUUGGGGGCAGUUCGUCUGAGCACAGUAUAGCUUCCUUGACUGACAUAUGACCAUACCCUGAGCAUGUCUUUUCUGAGUUAUCCUUUCAGUCUGAUGUCAAUUUGGUAAAAAAGAGAUUUUUGCUGAAACAUUUCCUUGUCAUGCCUGUGUCUAGCUGAUACCCUCUACAGAAAAAAUAAAUAAAAUCAAUGUUAUCAGAAAUAGUUUAUGCAUAUUUAAGCAAAUUCAUACUUUUUCUCCUUUUCUGCAACACAAAUGAUUACAUGCUUUAUAUCCUGUUCUAUACCUUACUUUUUUUCACUUUAUAUUUUAGAAAUUAUUCUAUAACAGUACAUAU